UCGCGACGUAGUUGAUCAGUGGCUACAGGACGAACGCUGGCGGCGUGCCUAACACAUGCAAGUCGAACGAGAAUCGACGGAUUGAGACUUCGGUUGAUUGAAGUUGAGGAAAGUGGCGAACGGGUGAGUAACGCGUGAGAAACCUGCCUUUCAGUGGGGGACAACAGUUGGAAACGACUGCUAAUACCGCAUAAUGUACUUUGGGGGCAUCCCCGAGGUACCAAAGCUUAAUGUGCUGAAAGAUGGUCUCGCGUCUGAUUAGCUAGAUGGCGGGGUAACGGCCCACCAUGGCGACGAUCAGUAGCCGGUCUGAGAGGAUGAACGGCCACAUUGGGACUGAGAUACGGUCCAGACUCCUACGGGAGGCAGCAGUGGGGAAUAUUGGGCAAUGGGCGAAAGCCUGACCCAGCGACGCCGCGUGAAGGAAGAAGGUCUUCGGAUUGUAAACUUCUUUUAUUAGGGACGAACAGAUGACGGUACCUAAUGAAUAAGCCACGGCUAACUACGUG
rnacentral:rRNA from 1 species